GCGGGAAUCUGCUGGUGGCGUGUGGCGUGAUAGAUCGACAUUCUUCACUUUUUUCGAGUAACAGCCUGCUGUUCGAAAUGGCUGGUACAAGUAGAAGAAUUGAUAAUUUCUUUUUCAAAAGGCAAAGAUCACAACCGUCCCUAUCCGAAGAAUUGACAGAAGACGAAGUAGAACCUUCGAAACGGGCGCGAGGGGUAGAAAAUGAUGCAGGAUGUUCUGACGAGAGGUCUGUUGAAGCUAAUAAGCCG